UUUCAUGAUAAAACUUUAACAGGUGAUGAGCUGCUUCUUAUAGAUGAGCAAAGAAAGUGGUUUCUUGAGAUGGAGUCUCCUGGUGAAGGUGCUGUGGACACUGUGGAAGGGACAACACAGGCUUUAUUUAGAAUAUCACAUAAACUCAGCUGACAAAGUAGCAGCAGGGUUGGAGAGGGUUGACUCCAAUGUUGAAAGAAGUUCUGCAGUGGCCAAAAUGCUAUCAAACAGCAUCACACACUACAGAGAAAUCUUCUGUGAAGGAAGAGUCAAUCAAUGGAGCAAACUUCAUUGUUUUAUUUUAAGAAACUGCAACACCCCAACCUUCAGCAACCGCACGCUGAUCAGUUAGCACCACCGACAUCAGGGCCGGACCCUCCACCAGCAUAAAAGGCUACAACCCACUGAAGGCUCAGAUGAUCAUCAGCAUCUUUAGUAAUAAAGUAUAUUACAAUUAAGCGAAGCCAACUGCCAAGCUGGGAGCCACCCCGGGACAACAAGGGCCGGAGUGCAGCCUCUGGCCUCCAGACAGCCAGGAACUGAGGCUCCCAGUCCAACAACCCGCAAGGCACUGUAUCCUGCCAAUAUCCUGGGAGUGAGCGUGGAAGCAGAUCCUCCUCAGGAGAAUUUCCAAAAGGUGCAAUCAACAAAAAAGCACAUGGAAUAAUGUAUUUCUCAGCAGAGACGGGAGGAAAUUCAACAACAAAACUCACCCAAGGUCACAGAGCAAGUAAGUGAUCAGCUGGGGACAAUGAUCUGUUUAUCCAAACAAACAAUGCAAUGUCCGCCACUGGUCAAGCAAGUGCUUAAUACAUAGCAGGCAGGGCUCCAAAUCUGUACUGUGUAAUCUUAUUUAAGCCUUACGACAACCCUGUGAUGCAGGUACUAUUAUUGUUCUCAACUGACAGAGAAGAAAGAGGAGACAGAGAAGAACAUGAAGUAAACUGGCCACACUGAAUGG